rnacentral:lncRNA from 1 species
AUAUAGAAAUGACUCAGUCUGCCAACUCUUCUUCCUCUUCUUCAUAUUCUUCCUCAUCGGCUGUUGCGUCUUGGUACUGCUGGUACUCAGCCACCAGAUCAUUCAUGUUGCUUUCAGCCUCCGUGAAUUCCAUCUCGUCCAUACCUUCUCCAGUGUACCAGUGCAAGAAAGCCUUCCUCCUGAACAUGGCUGUGAACUGCUCGCUAACCCUCCUGAACAUCUCUUGGAUGGAUGUCGAGUUCCCAAUAAAAGUGGAGGCCAUUUUGAGCCCUUUCGGUGGAAUGUCACACACGCUAGACUUGACAUUGUUUGGUAUCCACUCCACGAAAUAGGAAGAGUUCUUAUUCUGAACAUUGAGCAUCUGCUCAUCGACUUCCUUUGUGCUCAUCUUCCCACGGAACAUGGCUGAGGCAGUUAAGUACCGGCCAUGGCGGGGGUCAGCAGCACACAUCAUGUUCUUGGCAUCCCACAUUUGCUGGGUCAAUUCAGGUACUGUGAGGGCCCGGUACUGUUGUGAACCCCUUGAGGUCAGGGGUGCAAACCCUACCAUAAAGAAGUGGAGGCGGGGGAAUGGGAUGAGGUUUACAGCAAGCUUCCGGAGGUCAGAAUUUAGCUGCCCAGGGAACCUAAGGCAGCAUGUGACGCCACUCAUUGUAGCAGAGAUUAAGUGAUUGAGAUCGCCAACUAAAAUAUAAUGAAACAUCAAAAAACCAUCAGUGAGCAAUAAUGUAAUGACAAAGAAUUGAAAGUGUGCAAACUGGAACAACAUUUUAACUCAAGAAAAUAGAAACAUUUGAUCAUGAUUCAAGAAGCAUAUGGAGAAGAAAAUUAAAUAAAUGGAUUUAUAUAUGAAUUUUGGAUAUUUAGUAAACAAAAUAUGCCAUGUUUACGUACAAAAAGAAAGAAACAGAUAAAAAGGAAAAAAGGAGUGAAGAAAUCGAUCCUUAUAUAAAAUUACUAGCAAAUGAAAACUUUAGCAAACUUUAGAAGUAUAAAAUGAAGAAGCAUAUGAUUAAUUUCAGACCAAAAAGAGAAGAGCAUCAGAGUAUCAACAUUUUAUUCAUUUAGAGAAUAGUCAUAAAAAUCAUAAUUACAACAAGAAUGUAAAAGAAUCAAUGAAGAUGCAAGCAUUACUUACA